rnacentral:rRNA from 1 species
UACGAAGGGGGCUAGCGUUGCUCGGAAUCACUGGGCGUAAAGCGCACGUAGGCGGCUUUCUAAGUCAGGGGUGAAAUCCCGGAGCUCAACUCCGGAACUGCCUUUGAUACUGGAGAGCUUGAGUUCGGGAGAGGUGAGUGGAACUGCGAGUGUAGAGGUGAAAUUCGUAGAUAUUCGCAAGAACACCAGUGGCGAAGGCGGCUCACUGGCCCGAUACUGACGCUGAGGUGCGAAAGCGUGGGGAGCAAAC